ensembl:misc_RNA 7SK 7SK RNA
AGGGCCAUCUGGCCGGAGCAUCUGUUACUGAAUUGGCUGCCAGGAUUGUUUCCACUGAUCUGACUGGCUAAGUGGGUGUUCCUUUCCUCCUU